AGCAGCCGCGGUAAUUCCAGCUCCAAUAGCGUAUAUUAAAGUUGUUGCAGUUAAAAAGCUCGUAGUUGAAUUUCGGGAUCAUUAGGUUGGUCGUGCCCCCGGUAUGUACUGAUCUCGGUGGUUCCUACUUCUUGAAGAACCGUAAUGCCAUUAAUUUGGUGUUGCGGGGAAACAGGACUGUUACUUUGAAAAAUUAGAGUGUUUAAAGCAGGCAAUCGCUUGAAUACAUUAGCAUGGAAUAAUGAAAUAGGACGUUCGAUCCUAUUUUGUUGGUUUCUAGGAUUGACGUAAUGAUUAAUAGGGAUAGUUGGGGGCAGUUAGUAUUCGAAUUGUCAGAGGUGAAAUUCUUGGAUUUAUUGAAGACUAACUACUGCGAAAGCAUUUGCC
rnacentral:rRNA from 1 species